UACGAAGGGGGCUAGCGUUGUUCGGAAUUACUGGGCGUAAAGCGUGCGCAGGCGGUUUCCCAAGUCAGUGGUGAAAGCCCGGAGCUCAACUCCGGAACUGCCAUUGAAACUGUGAAGCUCGAGGACGAGAGAGGUGAGUGGAAUUCCCAGUGUAGAGGUGAAAUUCGUAGAUAUUGGGAAGAACACCAGUGGCGAAGGCGGCUCACUGGCUCGUAACUGACGCUCAUGCACGACAGCGUGGGGAUCAAACAGG
rnacentral:rRNA from 1 species